rnacentral:rRNA from 1 species
CGGUACGUACUGGUAUUGUUGGUUCCUCCCUUCUGACGAACCAUGAUGUCAUUUAUUUGGUGUUGUGGGGAAUCAGGACUGUUACUUUGAAAAAAUUAGAGUGUUUAAAGCAGGCUCACGCUUGAAUACAUUAGCAUGGAAUAAUGAAAUAGGACGUUUGAUUCUAUUUUGUUGGUUUCUAGGAUCGACGUAAUGAUUAAUAGGGAUAGUUGGGGGCAUUAGUAUUCAAUUGUCAGAGGUGAAAUUCUUGGAUUUAUUGAAGACUAACUACUGCGAAAGCAUUUGCCAAGGAUGUUUUCAUUAAUCAAGAACGAAAGUUAGGGGAUCGAAGACGAUCAGAUACCGUCGUAGUCUUAACCAUAAACUAUGCCGACUAGGGAUCGGAUGAUGUUAAUUUUUUAAUGACUCAUUCGGCACCUUACG